rnacentral:rRNA from 1 species
UACGUAGGGGGGCAAGCGUUGUCCGGAAUCAUUGGGCGUAAAGAGCUCGUAGGCGGCUUGUCGCGUCGGAUGUGAAAGCCCGGGGCUUAACCCCGGGUCUGCAUUCGAUACGGGCAGGCUAGAGUUCGGUAGGGGAGAUCGGAAUUCCUGGUGUAGCGGUGAAAUGACGCAGAUAUCAGGAGGAACACCGGUGGCGAAGGCGGAUCUCUGGGCCGAUACUGACGCUGAGGAGCGAAAGCGUGGGGAGCGAACAGG